AUUGAACGCUGGCGGCAUGCCUUACACAUGCAAGUCGAACGGCAGCAUGAUCUAGCUUGCUAGAUUGAUGGCGAGUGGCGAACGGGUGAGUAAUACAUCGGAACGUGCCCUGUAGUGGGGGAUAACUAGUCGAAAGAUUAGCUAAUACCGCAUACGACCUGAGGGUGAAAGUGGGGGACCGCAAGGCCUCAUGCUAUAGGAGCGGCCGAUGUCUGAUUAGCUAGUUGGUGAGGUAAAGGCUCACCAAGGCGACGAUCAGUAGCUGGUCUGAGAGGACGAUCAGCCACACUGGGACUGAGACACGGCCCAGACUCCUACGGGAGGCCGCAGUGGGGAAUUUUGGACAAUGGGCGAAAGCCUGAUCCAGCAAUGCCGCGUGUGUGAAGAAGGCCUUCGGGUUGUAAAGCACUUUUGUCCGGAAAGAAAUGGCUCUGGUUAAUACCUGGGGUCGAUGACGGUACCGGAAGAAUAAGGACCGGCUAACUACGUG
rnacentral:rRNA from 1 species